CGUCUGAGGGGGAGAGUGGCGAACGGGUGAGUAACACGUAGGUGACCUGCCCCGAAGAGGGGAAUAACCACUGGAAACGGUGGCUAAUACCCCAUGUGGUCUAUCGUUCAGUCGGUAGAUUAAAGUUCCGGCGCUUCGGGAGGGGCCUGCGGCCCAUCAGGUAGUUGGUAGGGUAAUGGCCUACCAAGCCGAUGACGGGUAGGGGGCGUGAGAGCGUGAUCCCCCACACUGGCACUGAGAUACGGGCCAG
rnacentral:rRNA from 1 species